CUGCCCGCCACCGCCACCGACGAGUUUCAACAUGGGGAAUCAAGUUCUCUGGGCUUGCAGAGAGGAGAUGGGCGGGUUGGGCUUUGUAUGGCGAUGUGAAAACCAGAUGGGUCUGGGAGAGACAGCGAAAGGAGCGAACCGUUUCAGGAGGAAUACGGGAGGAAGACAAUUAUUUGCAGAGGUGUCAGGAACGAGUUUGGACUUUUAACUGAGGGCCAUUGGAAACUACUGAAGAGUUUUAGGCAGCAUAAGAACUACUAGAUUUUCAUUGUGGGAGGAUCCUCAGCAGCAGCCUCAGAAAGGAGAUUGGGGAAGGAGAUCCCUAGUCAGGGAGACCAAGAAGACUACUGGAAAAAAACAGGGGAAUCCUCAAGGACCUGCAAACAAGAAACCAAAUCCCCCCACUCCCCCCAGCCAAAAUGUGUUCAUUUUGACCAGCUGUGUGUGUGUUUUAAAUUAAAAGUUUGAAUUAGAAAGCAAGUAGGAUAAAUUUAUAUACUUAGAUGUAUAAAUUUAAAUACCUGGCCCCUGAAGCACUUCUGAUAGGUCUCAGCUACCCAAACAAGAAGAACGGAAUCUUUGAAUCCCCAGGACUCAACGCAGUACUGGACACAAAAUGGGAGCUGAAAAAGUGUGUGUGGAGUCAGUGAAGGAUGCAAUUUCCCCUCAUUGUAGAGAUGAAGAAGCUGAGGCUGCAGAGUAGAAUAGGAGCAGACAGUGGGGAUUGUCUUCAAAGUAGGUUCCUAGUUCCUGGCUCAGAGGUCCCAGUUUUUGUUGACCAUGGACAGUAAAACUCCCUGGGGAAGCGGGCCCAGUCUCAGGAGAGCAGUUUUGAUUGGUCUAAGUUUGUGAUUGACUUAGGAACUGUCUGGCCAAUGAAAUAUGAGGGAAAGCCUGGGGGAUUCUGGGAAAGGUUUUGUAAACCAAAAAGUAUUUGAGACAUGUCUCAAUUUUAGAGGAUUAUUUUGCCAAGGUUAAGGACCAUUGCCCAUACAGCCUCAGGAGGCCCUGAGAACAUAUACCCAAGGUGGUUGGGGUACAGCUUCAUUUUAUACAUUUUAGGGAGUCAGAAGUUACAGGCAAAGACAUAAAUCAAUACAUGCAAGGUAUACAUUGGUUUGGCCCAGAGAGGUGGAACAUCUAGAAGCAGGAGCUUCCAGGUCAUAAGUGGAUUCAAAGAUUUCCUGAUUGGCAGUUUGUUGACAGAGUUAAGCUCCGCCCCAAGAGUUGAUGUCAGCUUAAAUUAAGGUAAGGGGGUGCUUUGUGGAAACCAACGUUCUUAUCAUGUAUAUGAAGCCUCCAGGCUUCAGCGAGAAUAGAUGUGAAUGUCUUUUAUUGGACCUUAAAAAUUGUCAGACUUUCUGGAAAAGACCUAAUAAGGGAAUCUUUACAGAACAUAAUUUUUUCACCCACAAGUGACAGCUUGGCAGGGCCGUUUCAAAAUAUGUAAAGAAAUAUAAUUUGAGGUAAAAUAAUUUGAUUUCCUUCAGGGCCCACUGGCUGUCACGUGAUGUUAUACCAGAGUCAGAUUGGAAUCUGUUGUCUUACUGCUACCAAGAUUUUGUCUUGACAGUCUUAAGAUUCCUGUUUUAAUGUCAGUUCUGGUCAGUUGUGUCUAAACUCAAAAGGAAGGAGGGUAUAAUGAGGCAUGUUUCACCCCCUCUUUCCCAUCAUGGCCUGAACUAGUUUUUCAGGUGUUUUUUUGAAUCCCUUUGGCCAAGGGGGAUCCAUUCAGUCAGCUGAGGGGCUUAGAAUUUUAUUUUUGGUUUAUAGUUUCCUCUUGAUUAAAGAAGGAAGUCUGCAAUGUGGGUUUGUAACCUAGUUUUUAAUAACUUUACAUCAGACUUGUAAUUUAUUGUUACUUUCUGAAGACACACUGAU
rnacentral:lncRNA from 1 species